AGUGAACGCUGGCGGUAUGCCUAACACAUGCAAGUCGAACGGCAGCACAGUAAGUUCUUGCUCUUACGGGUGGCGAGUGGGGGACGGGUGGGGAAUACAUCGUACUCUACUUUUUCGUGGGGGAUAACGUAGGGAAACUUACGCUAAUACCGCAUACGACCUUCGAGGGAAAGCAGUGGAUCUUCGGAACUUGCGCGAUACAAUGAGCCGAUGUCGGGUUAGCUAGUGGGCGGGGUAAAGGCCCACCAAGGCGACGUUCCGUAUCGGGUCGGAGAGGAUGAUGAGCCACCCUGGAACGGGGACCCGGCCCAGCUUCCACCGGGAGGAAGCAGUGGGGAAUUUUGGACAAUGGGCGCAAGCCUGACCCAGCACGACGGCGUGGGUGAAGAAGGCCUUCGGGUUGUAAAGCCCUUUUGUUGGGAAGGAAAAGCAGCAGGUUAAUACCCCGCUGUUCUGACGGUACCCAAAGAAUAAGCACCGGCUAACUUCGUG
rnacentral:rRNA from 1 species